UGGAAGUAAAAGUCGUAACAAGGUUUCCGUAGGUGAACCUGCGGAAGGAUCAUUACCGAGUGAGGGCCCUCUGGGUCCAACCUCCCACCCGUGUUUAUUUACCUUAUUGCUUCGGCGGGCCCGCCUUCACUGGCCGCCGGGGGGCUCACGCCCCCGGGCCCGCGCCCGCCGAAGACACCCCGAACUCUGUCUGAAGAAUGAAGUCUGAGUGAAAAUAUAAAUUAUUUAAAACUUUCAACAACGGAUCUCUUGGUUCCGGCAUCGAUGAAGAACGCAGCGAAAUGCGAUACGUAAUGUGAAUUGCAAAUUCAGUGAAUCAUCGAGUCUUUGAACGCACAUUGCGCCCCCUGGUAUUCCGGGGGGCAUGCCUGUCCGAGCGUCAUUGCUGCCCUCAAGCCCGGCUUGUGUGUUGGGACACCUCCUCCGAGUCCGGGGGACGGGCCCGAAAGGCAGCGGCGGCACCGCGUCCGGUCCUCGAGCGUAUGGGGCUCUGUCACCCGCUCUGUAGGCCCGGCCGGCGCUUGCCGAUCAACCCAAAUUUUUAUCCAGGUUGACCUCGGAUCAGGUAGGGAUACCCGCUGAACUUAAGCAUAUCAAUAA
rnacentral:misc_RNA from 1 species